rnacentral:lncRNA from 1 species
AAAGAAAAAGAUCGAAAUUCAUUUCAAGCCGAUCUUGAGUAUUACUCGGCUUGCUUGAAUUAGGCUCGAAAAGCUCGAAUAUAUAUGUAUUAAAAAAUAUAUAAAUAUAAUGUAUUUUAAUUAUAUAUAAACUGAGUGAGUAAUCUGAGUUUAGUUAAAAUUGGACCAAUAUUGUUGGUCCAUAAAAACAAACUCAAUAGACAAACAAAAUAGCAAAAUUUUACUAAAUUUAUACUUUCUCCUUUUCUUUUUUUCUUUCACAUAGCUUUAAAUUUCUAAUCUCUUUCUCUCUAUCUUUUUCUCUGUCUCUCACCCUAAGUGGCCAAGCCUGAAGUCUUUCAAGUUAUCGAAUAAUAGCACGCGCCCGCUGUUGCCUAUCUUGUCAUUAAUUGUGUGCUUGAAAAAAUAUACAGAAUAUUUUUAAAGUAAAAAAUUAUUGUUUGUAUAAAAUUUUGAUUUUAGUUAUAUAUGAUUGGAUAGUUUAAUCCAAUAUUUACCUAUAUAAUUUAUUUAUUUUUUGGCCGCAUAAAUAAAAAGGCAUAAUAUGGAGAUUGAAGGCGGAGGAGAAGACAUGUGAGGCUAAAAAGAUUAGAUAUUCAACUCAUAAGUUAUUUUUCUUCAUAUUAUAAUACCAUAUUUCAUAUAAUUAUUUUGUAUUUUGAACUAUUAGACAUAUUUUUGUAUCAAAUUGUAAAUAAUAUUCUAUACAAAUUAAAUUAUUAAUUGUAUGAAGAUGAGAAUUUCAAGCGGCUCGUUUAGGGCUCGAGCUCGCUCGACUCGAAAUUAGGCUCGCUCGAGCUCCGCUCGAAUUAAUUUCAAACCAAGCUUGAGCUUAAAUUUAGACUCGAAAUUAAUUUCAAGCCUAAUUUGAGCUGAGAUAGGCUCG